rnacentral:rRNA from 1 species
CAGUCGCCGCGGUAAAACGUAGGUGGCAAGCGUUGUCCGGAAUUAUUGGGCGUAAAGGGCUCGCAGGCGGUUUCUUAAGUCUGAUGUGAAAGCCCCCGGCUCAACCGGGGAGGGUCAUUGGAAACUGGGAAACUUGAGUGCAGAAGAGGAGAGUGGAAUUCCACGUGUAGCGGUGAAAUGCGUAGAGAUGUGGAGGAACACCAGUGGCUAAGGCGACUCUCUGGUCUGUAACUGACGCUGAGGAGCGAAAGCGUGGGGAGCGAACAGGAUUAGAUACCCGCGUAGUCCCUGUCUCUUAUAC